ensembl:lncRNA
AGGGAGGGAGGGAAAGAGAGAGAGUGGGAGAGAAAGAGAGAGAGAGAAGAAGAGAGAGCGAGGUAGCCUGUGUUUUAAUUACUCACAGCUGAACAACCCCCCCACCCUUCCUCUCCUCUCCUCCUCUACAGCCUAUAAUCCACUGCUGGGUUACAGACACAGUUUCCUACAGCGUCUUCCUGGGUGGCCCACUGCUCACUAACCCAGCCAGUCAGCCAGUCAGUCAGCCUGCCAAUCUGCCAGUCAGUCACCCAGUCAGUCAGCCAAUCAGUCACUCAGCCUGCCAAUCUGCCACUAACCCAGUCAGCCAGCCAGUCAGUCACCCAGUCAGUCAGCCAGUCACUCAGCCUGCCAAUCUGCCACUAACCCAGUCAGCCAGCCAGUCAGUCACCCAUUCAGCCAGUCACUCAGCCUGCCAAUCUGCCAGCAAUCCAGCCAGUCAGCCAGCCAGUCAGUCACCCAGUCAGCCAGCCAGUCUGCCAGCCAGCCAGCCAGUCUGCCAGCCAGCCAGCCAGCCAGCCAGCCAAGCAAUCUGCCAGUCACCCAGCCAGCCAGCCAGUCUGCCAGCCAGCCAGCCAGUCACUCAGCUAACCAGUCACCCAGCCAAUCAGCCAGCCAGUCAGUUUGCCAGACACACAGCAAGCCAGUCUGCCAGCCAGUCACCCAGCCAAUCUGCCAGCCAGUCAGCCAGCCAGUCAGUUUGCCAGUCAGCCAGCCAGUCAGCCAGUCUGCCAACUUUAAAUUGUAUUUCCAGGCACUAGCAUUUCAUCCCAUCCUGUGUUACAAACGUAGUUUCCUGCACUGUCUUCCCACUGCAGUCAAUCAGUCACUCAGCCAGUCAUCCAGUCAGCCAGUCACUCAGCCAGCCAGUCAGCCAGCCAUACAGCCAGUCACUCAGCCAGCCAGUCAUCCAGUCACUCAGCCAGCCAGUCACCCAGCCAGUCACCCAUCCAGUCAGCCAGUCACCCAGCCAGCCAGCCAGUCACCCAGUCAGUCAUUCAGUCACCCAGCCAGCCAGCCAGCCAGUCACCCAGUCAGCCAGUCACCUAGCCAGUCAGCCAGUCACCCAGACAGUCAACCAAUCACACAUCCAGCCAGUCAGUCUGCCAGUCUGCCAGUCACCCAGCCAGUCAGUCAGCCAGUCAGUCAGCCAGUCAACCAGCCAGGAAGCCAGAAAGUCACCCAGCCAGGAAGCCAGAGAGUCACCCAGGCAGUCACCGAUCCAGCCAGUCUGCCAGUCUGCCAGUCUGCCAGUCACCCAAUCAGCCAGUCAGCCAGUCAACCAGCCAGGAAGCCAGAGAGUCAACAAGGCAGUCACCCAGUCACCCAACCAGUCAGCCAGUCAACCAGCCAGUCAGUCACUCAGUCAGCCAGUCACCUAGCCAGUCAGCCAGUCACCCAGAGGGUCAACCAAUCAUACAUCCAGCCAGUCAGUCUGCCAGUCUGCCAGUCACCCAGUCAGCCAGUCAGCCAGUCAACCAGCCAGGAAGCCAGAGAGUCACCCAGUCAGCCAGUCAGCCCGUCAGCCAACCAGUCAGCCAGUCAGCCAGUCAACCAGCCAGGAAGCCAGAGAUUCACCCAGUCAGCCAGUCAACCAGCCAGGAAGCCAGAGAGUCACCCAGGCAGUCACCCAGUCAGCCAACCAGUCAGCCAGUCAACCAGCCGAUAAAGAGCAGCAUUAAGAUGGAUAGUACCCAGCUGUUUUCCUUGACCACCAACUUCAAACACAGAGCAGCUUUUUCCCUCCAAAUAAAAGGUCGGUCAAGCAGAUCUCCCCCCCGGUCUGUCGGCAGGAACCCUUUAAGUAUUUGGUCAAAUGUUUACACUUGAUUUAAUGGGGGACUCUUAAUCAAAAUACCUCAACCCCCCUUACCCCCAGACAUGCCACAAGUCAAAUGUGUGUGGGUGGCACAUGCUAUUCUGUUGGCAAGGCGAUGUGUUUGAUGUUUGUAGAAACAAGCUUUUUGGGAUUUCUGUACUUUUUUUCUGCUGUCAGCUUUGGUCACUGUGAAUAAAAGCGGCGGUUAUACCUGACCUCUCCGGUGACCGAGGGUUAGAGAGAGGAGAGGUUGAGACUGAGGGUUAUAGAGAGGAGAGAGGUUGAGACUGAGGGUUAUAGAGAGUGGGGAGAGGUUGAGACUGAGGGUUAGAGAGGAGAGAGGUUGAGACUGAGGGUUAGAGAGAGGAGAGAGGUUGAGACUGAGGGUUAGAGAGAGGAGAGAGGUUGAGACUGAGGGUUAGAGAGAGGAGAGAGGUUGAGACUGAGGGUUAGAAAGAGGAGAGAGGUUGAGACUGAGGGUUAGAAAGAGGAGAGAGGUUGAGACUGAGGGUUAUAGAGAGGAGAGAGGUUGAGACUGAGGGUUAUAGAGAGGAGAGAGGUUGAGACUGAGGGUUAGAGAGAGGAGAGAGGUUGAGACUGAGGGUUAUAGAGAGGAGAGAGGUUGAGACUGAGGGUUAGAGAGAGGAGAGAGGUUGAGACUGAGGGUUAUAGAGGGGAGAGAGGUUGAGACUGAGGGUUAUAGAGAGGAGAGAGGUUGAGACUGAGGGUUAUAGAGAGGAGAGAGGUUGAGACUGAGGGUUAUAGAGAGGAGAGAGGUUGAGACUGAGGGUUAGAGAGAGGAGAGAGGUUGUGACUGAGGGUUAGAGAGAGGAGAGAGGUUGAGACUGAGGGUUAGAGAGAGGAGAGAGGUUGAGACUGAGGGUUAUAGAGAGGAGAGAGGUUGAGACUGAGGGUUAGAGAGGAGAGAGGUUGAGACUGAGGGUUAGAGAGGAGAGAGGUUGAGACUGAGGGUUAGAAAGAGGAGAGAGGUUGAGACUGAGGGUUAUAGAGAGGAGAGAGGUUGAGACUGAGGGUUAGAGAGAGGAGAGAGGUUGAGACUGAGGGUUAGAGAGAGGAGAGAGGUGGAGACUGAGGGUUAGAGAGAGGAGAGAGGUUGAGACUGAGGGUUAUAGAGGGGAGAGAGGUUGAGACUGAGGGUUAUAGAGAGGAGAGAGGGCAGAUCUCAAGAGAAGAGGCUGGUGGUCGCUGUGGGUCUGUGGGGUAGAGAGAGGAGAGGAGAGGCUGGUGGUCGCUGUGGGUCUGUGGGGUAGAGAGAGGAGAGGAGAGGCUGGUGGUCGCUAUGGGUCUGUGGGGUAGAGAGAGGAGAGAAGAGGCUGGUGGUCGCUGUGGGUCUGUGGGUCUGUGUGGUAGAGAGAGAGAGGAGAGGAGAGGCUGGUGGUCAUUAUGGGUCUGUGGGGUAGAGAGAGGAGAGGAGAGGCUGGUGGUCGCUAUGGGUCUGUGGGGUAGAGAGAGGAGAGGAGAGGCUGGUGGUCUAUAUGGGUCUGUGGGUCUGUGGGGUAGAGAGAGGAGAGGAGAGGCUGGUGGUCGCUAUGGGUCUGUGGGGUAGAUAGAGGAGAGGAGGGGCUGAUGGUCGCUAUGGGUCUGUGGGGUAGAGAGAGGAGAGAAGAGGCUGGUGGGUCUAUGGGUCUAUGGGUCUGUGGGUCUAUGGGUCUAUGGGUCUGUGGGUCUAUGGGUCUGUUCACCAGACUAGGUUCAAAAACGAUUUGAAAUAUUACAAAUACUUUUAGCUGUCCUUGAUUGAGUAGCUCAUUGGACCAAUAGGAUAGUCCCAAAAAUACAUACCACACCCACAUGGCACUCCAGGCAGGCUGUAGCAAACACUCAAAGUAUUUGAAAUAUUUCAGUGAGGUAGCUAGCCCACCUUCCAUAGCGUACAUCCCCUCAGGGUCAGGUCUGGUCUGUGAGGUAGCUAGCCCACCUUCCAUACCAUACAUCCCCUCAGGGUCAGGUCUGGUCAGUGAGGUAGCUAGCCCACCUUCCAUACCAUACAUCCCCUCAGGGUCAGGUCUGGUCAGUGAGGUAGCUAGCCCACCUUCCAUACCAUACAUCCCCUCAGGGUCAGGUCUGGUCAGUGAGGUAGCUAGCCCACCUUCCAUAGCGUACAUCCCCUCAGGGUCAGGUCUGGUCUGUGAGGUAGCUAGCCCACCUUCCAUACCAUACAUCCCCUCAGGGUCAGGGGUCAGGUCUGGUCUGUGAGGUAGCUAGCCCACCUUCCAUCCCAUACAUCCCCUCAGGGUCCGGAUAACCAGAGGUGGAUGAGAGGAAGGGAAAGGGGAAAAUAAACUUGCUGACACAACUUUCUAGAUAUAGUAUAUAUAGUGAGCUCUAUAUGUUAUGUGGGUGGACAACAACACUCUGUGAGAGAGAGGGAGGAGUUAUAUGUUCAAAUGCUUCUCCUUUUUCCUGUGAGUUGUUGUAGAUUAUUGGCACUUUCUAAAGUUUAUCUUCAAUGACUAAUGUCAAUAUUGGGGUUUUAUCUACAGAUAGGCCCACGUACAGUGUUUCCCGAUUGAACUCACAGACUGUAGUGAAGACAGAAAGUACCCCAGCUCUUUAAGAAUAAUGUAGGGCCAACAUGGUUCAGAUUGUGUGUCACAGAACCGCAGGAUUUUUAGCAGGAGCACCACAGGUUAAUUGAACAGCUCGUGACAGGAAGAGAGAACACAGUGGGAGGUUGACUGGUUUCCAGGCCUCAUGAAUGGGCUCUUUGAGAACCUAGGCCAGCAGGUGUGGUACACUACAUGAAUGAUAGUCAUGCUCAGGAGGGAACACUAUAGCAAAAUGUUUUUCAAAUUGGCAAGCUUACAUAUCUGUUCUUAUUAGAUAAGUAUUUGGCCCAGGUCUGCAGCUUCUGAUCAAUAUCCUACAUCUUCUGAUCAAUAUACUGCAGCUUCUGAUCAAUAUCCUACAGCUUCUGAUCAAUAUACUGCAGCUUCUGAUCAAUAUCCUACAGCUUCUGAUCAAUAUACUGCAGCUUCUGAUCAAU